AUGAAUUUAACAAUUUUUAUUUAUUUAUUUUGAAUGAUUGUUUUAAUUUUAGCCUAUCAUGAUGCUCUUACUCAGCUCAUUCUAAUGAUUUUUGGAAAUGUACUUUGUUACAAAUCAACUUGUUCUUUAAGUUUCAAAUCUUUGUUGUUGGAUUUCUCAUUGGUCACAUAAUAUAGAUUUAAGAUAUCAGCAUCAUGUUCAAGAAAAAAGACAAGAAGUUUCUUUAAAUCCAAUAUUUAAGAAGGGGUGCACUUUGACCUGUAUAAAAAUAAAAAAGAUGAGGUGCAAUUUGUCCAGUAUGUCAUCCUUAGAAACUACUAGUUGUAUAUAUCUGUCAAAAUUCAAAUGCUUGAAUAAGUAUAAAUUAUAAAAUGGCUUGAAUGAGUACAAAAUUGCUGGUAUGUAGAUCUGGAACUCUGGUGAAUGUACAAAAUUCAAGUUCAAGGCUUUAGAAGUUGAUCUUGAAGCUUAAGGAUGAUGAGUGCUUGAGUUCAUCCUUAGUAAAUUGAGGUUCUUAGAAGACCCUUUUUCUGUAUAUCAAUUUUUACACUGCCUGCAUUUCGCUUAUUUAGUAGUGAAGGCUCUAAUUGUUGCAUGGUAACAUUAUAAUCAUAUCAGAAAUGAAAGGUUUUUUUUUUGGAUUAGUGAAGAAAGAAAAUAUUUUGGUUUUAAUUUUAGCUUGAUCACCAUUACAUGGAUCAAAAGUUUGAUGGGUCAAGGCCUUAGUGUUGGAAUUGAUGAUUUGGCUAAUCAAUGCCUCUGUAAGGUUGAUAUAAAACCAUGGUUGUUCUUUAAAAAAAAAAAAGUGCCUCAUAAUUUAGAAGUGGAUUCUAGUAAAAUUGAGAUUUACUGGGACUUAAAUAAUGCUAAAUUUGGUUAUGGGCCAGAGCCAGUGGAGGGAUUUUAUUAACUUGGUCUUACUCUCAGCAAUUUAGAGAUUCCCAAUCACAAGGUCUUGCUUUCUCACUUAUUUUGUAUGCUCAGUUUAAAUUCACUUCAUUAAAAUUUUGUAGAAGCCACGAAGUUUGCAAAUGAUCGGAAAUCAAGAUUGAAAAAGAAGAGAGAUGAUCCUUCGGAGGUCCUGGCCUUUCUGCAAUUUUUAUCUUUUUAAAAAGGUCUUAACUUUCUUGAGAUUCUCCUGUGGGAUUUCUUUUUUUAUUGUUGUCCUUUUCCAGUCUGCCCUUACAGGAGAGUCACUCCCGGUAACCAAAAAUCUUGGUGAUGGAGUAUACUCUGUUCCAACAUGUAAACAAGGUGCAAUUGAAGGAGUUGUUAUUGCAACUGGAGUACAUACCUUAUUUGGAAAGGCAAUUCAUCUUGUGGAAACUACUACAAUCAUUGGACAUUUUCAGCAGAUAAUUUCAGUAUUCUAUUUUGGAUGAAAUCUUCACUUAGAAUCUCAAAGGCUGGAAGAAUGUUUAGAGCUGUAAUAUUUCUAAACAGUUUCAUCUUUUCUGCUUGGAGGUACCUGCCACGUUGCAAAGAUUUUGAAGACUAACUCAGAAAGAUAGCAAGAAGUUUGCAUUUGGAAAAAUAAUUAACUUGAUGACAACUGAUGCCCAGGCACUUCAGCUAUUAUUGCAUGGGAGUCCUGCACUCAACUCUCUCCCGAAUGAAAUUCAACCCUUCUCUGCCCUUGAAGAGCUGAAGAUACAGAACUUUAACGGAAUGGAAGCUUUGCCUAAUUGGUUGGGCAAUCUUUCUUGUCUUCAAAAGCUGUCUCUUUACUACUGCAAAAAGCUGAUGUAUCUUCCCAUUCUACACCUCACCGAUUUAAAACAUCUGCACAUUGCUCGAUGUCCCAAUUUAGAGAAAAGAUGUGUAGAAGAGAGCAGCGCAGAGUGGUUACAGAUGCCCCAUAUUCGAAACAUCAAAAUCAAUGAAAAAUACAUCAAAGGGAAGGAUUCUGAGGACUCUGAAGACUUUGACGACUAUGACGACUCUGAGUAUGAAGAAGUUGAAUAUGAUGACUCUGAGUAUGAAGAAUCUGAUGACUCUGAAGAUGAUAGAGACGAUUACUUGCAAGAAGAUUCCAUCUUGGAAAAUAACCAACUCGAUGACAACUAGUGCCAAGGUACUUCAGGUUUGGAAAAUAACCAACUUGAUGACAACUGAUGCCAAUGUACUUCAGUUGUUUGCAGGAUAGAUCCCACUCACUUGCAUAUAUGGUGAUGGACCAGUAUCUAUAAACUGACCACGUUGUUGAAACAUUCUGGCAACUUCCAUAGCACUUUAGAAA